CUUGGGCCGCUCCAGCGGCAUAUGGAGGUUCCCAGGCUAGGGGUCGAAUCGGAGCUAUAGCCACUGGCCUACGCUAGAGUCACAGCAACGCGAGAUACGAGCCGCGUCUGCAACCUACACCACAGCUCACCGCAACGCCAGAUCGUUAACCCACUGAGCAAGGGCAGGGACCGAACCCGCAACCUCAUGGUUCCUAGUCGGAUUCGUUAACCACUGAGCCACGACGGGAACUCCAAUAAGCAGGCUUUUAAUAUUGGAAGAAAGGCCCUAACAUAAUGAAAGCCUACACUAUGACCAGCAUCUUAACAGACACUUUAAUAGUAUUUCAUUUAAAAAAUCACCCAGGGGCUGGCUAGCUGCCCAAAUGGGGAAUGGGGUGACAGCCCUAAAUUCACACAUCCCCAGGCACCUCCCAGUAGCUGUUCCCUGGGCCGACACCUAUGCCAGUGUGCUUUACUGCAAACCCUGGGUAAGAGAUGAGUGGGCAAAACAGGCAGGGAGGAAGAAGGAUAAAUGGGAUGCAAUAAAACCCAGCCGGUUUGUCUUCAAGGCAGGAGUCCAAUAAAUCCAGAGGCACCUGUGCUUGUGACAUUCUGGAGGCUGAAGCUGCCACUGGGCUGGGCUUGGCUUGCUGGGAUACAGCAGUAAUUCCAAGGAGAUGAGAGAAAAGACUGUCAGGAGAGGGAAGAACCCCAUCUGUGAAGCCAGGGCAGCUUAGGACACAUGGUGAAAGAAGGGACAUUUGUACCAACCUGUCUGUGUAGGUGGAGAACCUGCUUCCCUGUACACAGAAUGCACUCACUCAUCUCUGUUAGCUCCCUCCUCAUGCCCCUCUCUUCCUUCUCAAGGAUUUAUCCCCAGGGUUUGUGAGACCCCCUUUGACUUAUUUAACAUGGAGCCAAGAUGAAUUCCUCGUGAACUAGAGACUGUUAGCUCUCCUUGCAUUUCUCUAAGAAAAUGGUCUGGGACUUCCUCUUGGUACUUGGCACGACUGAGUUUUGCCACAAUACAGGGGGCAGAAGAGAGCUGUGUGGUUCCAACUUGAGGGCUUAAAGAUCACCUGGAGACUGAGCUAGAAAUACAGACUGCAGUUUUACACCAGCAAUUCUGAUUCGCUGGGCGCCUCUGUGAGUCUGCAUUUACUUGUAAGCCAUCUAUUGAUCACAAUUUGAGAAGCUGAGAGAAAAGUGUCAUUUAGAGUGGAUCCAUUAGCCCUGGAUUAACAAGAACUCCAGGUGGAGCUGAGAAAAACAUCCUAGUGAGGGGCCUCAAUCCAUAUUCAUCACCUUUUAAAAGUUACUAAGAUCCUGGUUAUCUCUAACAGGUUGAACAUAAUAUUUUGUAUUCCAACAAUAAGGCAAUGAAAUUCUAAAAAUAGAGAUGAAGGGAGUUCUUGUCUGAGAAGUCAGGAGUUCCCAUUGUGGCUGGGCAGUUUAAGAACACAACACAGUACCAACGAGGAUGUGGAUUGGAUCCCUGGCCUCGCCCAUUGGGUUAAGGAUUUGGUGUUGCUGCAAGCUAUGAUGUAGGUCACAAAUGUGGCUUGGAUCCCUUGUUGCUGUGGCUGUGGUGUAGGCCGUCAGCUGCAGCUCUGAUUCAACCCCUAUCCUGGGAACUUCCAUAUGCCACAUGUGUGGCCCUAAAAAUAAAAAUAGAUAGAUAGAUAGAUAGAUAGAUAGAUAGAUAGAUAGAUAGAUAGAUGAUAGAUAGAUACGUACAUACAUACAUACAUGAGAAUAGGAAGGCGAUCCUGAAUUAACUGGGUGGGCCCAGUGCAAUCACAUGAGCUCUUCAAAGUAGAAGAGAAAAGCAGAAGGGAAAGUCAGAUCGGAAGAGGAAAAAUGAUUUAGCAUGCUAUUUCUCACUUGAAGAUGGAGGAGCUAUGUAAGAAUGAGUAUGAGUGGAAGCUGACAGUGCCAACAACAAAGAUGUCAGUCCUACAACCACAAAGACUAGAUUAUGCCAACACCCUGAGUGCAUUUGAAAGUGGUAUCUUCUCCAGAGCCUUCAGAUAACAGCUCAGCUCUUGACACCUUGAUUUCAACUUUGGAGUACCCUAAGCAGAACCCAGAAGUGCCUGCCUGGAUUCUCCAUCCACAGAAUCAUGAGGCAGUAAGUACAUACUAUUUUAAGCUGCCAAGUGUUUGUUACACUAGAAAUUAAUCUAAGCACUUUUAUUUGUGAAUGUUUUGAUCUGGAUUUUUUUUGUUUUGCUUUGGUUUGGUUGGGCUUUUGAUAUUCUAAGACUUGAAUUCAUUGCUGGAUGAUUUCUCACAUCCAGGCUUCCUGCCUCUUUUUGAAGACCCUGUGAGAUUACAUGUCUUCAGAAAGCUUUCCCUAAUAGAGUCAUCUUUUAUCAUGGACAGUGAUGGUCUUUGCCAGAGAAGUCCUUAUUUUGUUGGAAAGUUAAGGCUGUCAUGGAGGUGAUAAAGGAUUGAAUGUAUAUAUGGAGAAGGGGGUAAUGUUUGGGAGCCAAACACAAAAAUAGGUUUAUUAAUUCAUGUAUUCAAGAAAUAUCAAUUGAGCAUCUCCUAUGUUCUAGGUGCUAAAGAUAUACUGGUGAAUAAGAAAACAUCCCUCUCUGAUGAACUCUACAUUCCAGUAGAGGGAGUUAGAUAAUACAUAUGUAAACAACUAAUAAAGAAAAUAUUUCAGACAGUAAUAAGUCCUACAAGGAGAAAAGCUCCAGUAAUAUGUGGCUUCCAGAGAAAGUCACUUUAAAGAGGGUGGCUGCUAAAGUCCUCUCUGGGACAUAUUGUUGAGCUGUGACCUGAAUGAUGAGAAGGGAAAUAUGUCCAAAUAGGAGAAGAGCAAUUGCAAAAGCCCCGAGGUUUUAAGGAGCCUGACACAUUAACUGAACAGGGGAGAAAAGGAUCGUUUGACAAAGCCGCAGUGAGCCAAGGGGAUGACAUAGCUGAGAUCAGACUGGUAAAUAGAGGCCAGAUCAGUCAGAGCCUUGUAGACCAAAAUUAGAAGUUUGGGGUUGAUUAUCUGCACCAGGCAGCCACUGAAUGUGGAAUAUUAUUGCAACUGCUUCCAGACUACUCUCCCUGUGUUCAGUCCCUUCCUUCCCAGUCGCUCCUCUAUUCUGCUGCACUGAGUGACCCUUGUACAUGGUAGUUCUGGCCAUGUCACUGUUUUAACUCUAAAAACUACCAAUGAAUCCCACUGCCCACAGAGUGAAAUCCAGACUGGAUGGGUGGACCCUCAUGAUAAAUCCCUGUAUUUACUCCCAGGCUUGUUUCUCGGCCUCCCUCACCUUAACUCCAUGGUCAGAGCACAUUAAACUAUGCUCCCAAGAGUUCCCAUUGUGGCUUAGUGUGUUGAGAACCCCACAUAGUGUCCUUGAGGAUGUGGGUUCAAUCCCUGCCCUCCCUCAGUGGGUUAAGGAUCCAGCGUUGCUGCAAGCUGUGGCUAGGUUGCAGAUGCAGCUCUGAUCCAGUGUUGCUGGGGCUGUGGUAUAGUCCCACCGCUACAGACUGCCACUCCAAUUCAGUCCCUAGCCUGGGAAUUUCCAUAUCCUAAGAUGCAGCCAUUAAAAGAAGAAGGAAAAAAGAAAAGAAAAAAAAAAUUAUGCUCCUCCCUCUGAAUAUCCUCUGCUUUUCUCUCCUUCAUGUCUGGAGAGAGGGCAAGGUCAGCACCCAGACUUGCUGUUCUCAAUGUCUUCCUCCUGCCUUUUUUACCUAAGAAACCUAUCUUCCAAAACCUACCCGAGUGAAAGGAAAUAUAUGGAGUUAAAGUAUUCUACUAAAGCCCAUUCAUUGUCUAGGAUGUAGCAAAAGUAUUAAUUUGUUUUUUAAAAAACCAUAGUUGAUUUACAACGUUGUGCCAAUUUCCACUGUACAGUGACCCAGUCAUUCAUACACACACACACAUUUCCUUUCUUAUAUUAUCUUCAUUCAUGGUCUAUCCCAAGAGAAUGGAUAUAGUUGCCUGUGCUAUACAGUAGGACCUCAUUGCUUAUCCAUUCUAAAUGUAAUAGUUUGCAAAUUCUCAGUCCAUCCCACUCCCUCUCUCCAACCCCUUAUCAACCACAGGUCUGUUCCCUGUGUCUAUGAGACUGUUUCUGUUUUGUAGAUAGGUUCAUUUGUUCCAUAUUUUAGAGUCCACAGAUAAGUGAUAUCAUAUAGUAUUUGUCUUUCUCUUUCUGACUUACUUUACUUAGCAUGAUAAUCUCUAGUUGCAUCCAUGUUGCUGCAAAAGGCAUUAUUUCAUUCUGUUUUUAUGGCUGAGUAGUAUUACAUUUUAUAUAUUUACCACAUCUUAAUCCAUUCAUCUGUAGUUGGACAAUUAAGUUGCUUCCGUAUCUUGGCUAUUAUGAAUAGUGCUGCUAUGAACAUAGGUUGCAUGUGUCCAAAAGCAUUAAUUUUUAUUAAACUAUUUUCAGCCAAGAAUGUAUGGUAUGAUGUCUAGGGUAAUCACUAACAAAUAAAAUAAAAUAAUGUAAUAUCUAAAAAGAUAAUAGAGGGUAAAAAUGAAAUUAUUAAAAAUGCUUGAAUAAUUGGAAAGAAAGCAACAAAGAGGAAAAAUGACAAGAUAUAGAUAUAAAUCAAAUAUGUAAUUUUCAGUAUUUACACUGAUGUGUAAAUGGAUCAAAUGCUUCAAUUAAAAUUUAAAGAUGCUGAG
rnacentral:lncRNA from 1 species